GAAUUCAUUGAAGAGUUGCUGUCUCCCCCUUUUGGGGGUUUAGUGGCAUUUGUGAAGGAGGCUGAGGCUUUGAUUGAGCGUGGACAGGCUGAGCGACUUCGAGGGGAAGAAGCCCGGGUAACUCAGCUGAUCCGUGGCUUUGGUAGUUCCUGGAAAUCAUCAGUGGAAUCUCUGAGUCAGGAUGUAAUGCGGAGUUUCACCAACUUCAGAAAUGGCACCAGUAUCAUUCAGGGAGCGCUGACCCAGCUGAUCCAGCUCUAUCAUCGCUUCCACCGGGUGCUGUCCCAGCCGCAGCUCCGAGCCCUCCCUGCCCGGGCUGAGCUCAUCAACAUUCACCACCUUAUGGUGGAGCUCAAGAAGCAUAAGCCCAACUUCUGAUGUGCCAGAAACCGCCCUGAGAUCUGCCGGUCAUCUCCAUGGACUUCUGCACCCCAUUCCAUACCCUUCUUCACCUGGGGUCCCCCUUCCAGUUUUCCCCUUGCUUCCCAGGCCCUUGACAUGGCUUACCUGCCUUCACUCCCAGCACCUUGCCCAACAGGAUAAGCUGGAUCCCCUUGGCCUUCUGAAUAUCCCAGUGUCUUCAGGUUUCCCAAGACCACUUCCCUGUGGGCUU
rnacentral:sRNA from 1 species